AAAAAAAAUGUGUGGCUUUAUUGCAAUAUUCGUUUUAUUGUGGUGGUCUGGAACUGAACCUGCAAUACAUCCAAGAUAUGCCUGUAGUCUUUACAGUGCCACAAACUUGUUCUCCGGUUUUCUUAGAAUGGAGGAUAGGACACUGGCUGAUACGAGAUAUUUGCUGUGCAGCAGAAAGGCAAACUUCAGCCACUUGCGGGGUUCAACUCUGUGGCAGCCAGGCCUUCAAUGCCAGGAAGGACUUACUGGAACUAUCAUGAAGUCCAGAGGUAGGGAACCUCAAAGCCACGCUCCAAAUGUGGCCCUCCAGACUUCUCUGCCCAGCCCUUGGGACCCUCCCCAGGCCACACACUCUUCUCUCUCCAGGUGGAACAUCCCUUGCUGGCCUGCCUUCACACCUUUGUUUAGUGUCGUUGCCUAGCUAAAAUGCAUCCUUGAACUCUGACAAUGCUUCAUGCUCACUCUGGAAGGAGGAUAGAGAGAGAUGUGUGGGUGUGUGCAGAAACUGGCCUGCAAGGCUGAAAUUUACAUUGCUCUCUGCCCACUUCUCCGCCAGCCACCAGCAUGUGACCCCUGAAUAGCUGCCCAGAAGGGAACGCGGCCCCUGGGCUGUAAACACUUUCCCAUCCCCUGGCCUCAUUUUCUCCCAUAGGAUUGAAUGGCAGCCAGGGCUUAAAACUAUCCCUGAGGUGACUGCUUGGGGCCAUUGAGCAACUUCCAGCUGCCCCCUUGGCUAUUGACCACAGUUUGAGACUGGGCAAAGAGCAGAGCUGUGGCUGUUUUCCUUGCUUCCCCAAUGCCUAUUUAAGUUUAUUGCAUAGAACUGAAUAAGAAUUGCUGGAAAUUAAGAUUGCUCCAGUAUGUGCAUUCUGCCCUGCACAUGCUCUUUCUUUAAAAUGGACGUGGCUCAGUAGCAGGGUACGUGGUUUGCAUGAAAAAGCUGUCAGGUUGAAUCCCUGGCAUCUCCUGGUAGGUUUGGAAGAGAUUUAUCCCCCUGCUGGCUGAAACUCUGGAGAGACACUGCCAAUCAGCAUAGACAAAACAAAGCUAGAUGGAUCAAAGGUCUGGUUUCAUAUGAGGCUAUUUCCUGUGUUCCUAUACCUGGGAGAGACCCCAUCUGAAACCCUGGAGAGCUGCUGCCAAUCAUUGCUAGACAGAAACUUCUGUCUGACAGAUAAGGCAAUUUCCUGGGUUGCUUUGUCAAAUUCUGGUGUUUCUUAAGAGGCAUAGCUCAGAAGUUGACCCACAAACACACCGGCAGUGUGUUCAGAUAGACGGGUGCACAUUCACAUAUUAAAAGCAGUGUUACAUGCAACAUCUGGCUUGAGAAAGCAGUCAUUUCUGCUCUGGUGCUGCACCUGCUCUGUUAAUACAUGAUACAUCUGGAUAAAACCUGCAGCCCUGCAGAGCAGAUUUGAGCCCUUCCAGGCUGCCCCAUUAUAGCUGAAUGGGAGCCUUGGACAACAAAACUGCUUCCCAUAAUACUGGGCUUUUUCCAGUAAGAAAAGCUGUGGGGAAAUGCAUGCUGAAAAUGUGGAGUGAUACUUGCUUUGAUGCAGCUUCAUCUAACCUCCCUGCAAACAAAUCAGAAGGAAUGGUCAUUGAAUAGCCAACGUCAUCUAAGUUCUUCUUUGCCGAACAGGAAGAAAGCUCAAUAAGCAGAUCACUUAGAAGUACCCACAAAAGGUGAAAAGGAAGAAGAAAACUGCAUCUUUAUUCUGAUUAAAAAAUUAAUCUUCAAACAACUUUUUGCGGUCAAGUAUGGCAGUUGGCAUCAAUCAUGGCACUUUAAAAAUGUAACGUGUAGACUUAAAAACAGACAUGGUAUUUCUAGGGCACAAGAGCGUUGGAGGUUUAUCAGGGUAAUGAAAUAUUCAGGGUUCCAUUUUGGGAACGUGAGAUGUUGUCAAAUUUCGGAGUCGGUGAGUCAGGAAGAGCUUCCCUGCCAGUGCUGAAACUAAAGAGGAGCCGACAGAAGAGGGAGGGAGAGGACACCAAGUUGUGACUCAGACAUGAACCAUUUUUGGCGCAGGAGACAUGCGCAAGACAAAAGGAUCCUACAGUGGGUGAUGUCAACAAGCAAACGCUUUGUUUGGGAAUAAUAAUAGCUGCUUACGUCUUGGCAGUGCCAGCUGAGAGGGGUGUUUGAUAUACUGGCUACGCCUGCUUAGCCACAUGGAAAACGGGAUAGUAAUUGAGGGAUGUUGUGACGCCUUUCUUAAAAAGAGCCGCUGAUUGCUACUGAUUGAAGCAUUGAUUGGUGCUUACUCUGCCUGGCUACGAGAGGGAAAAUCUUUCUCUGUUCACUCAGUUAUUUUGAUACAUGUCAUGGUUAUGGUUCUAAGCCUCUUAUCUUCCAUGGUGGAUAAUUUUUUUUAAAGAGCUGUCUCGUAUACGGUAUGUUUUACGCUAUCCUUAAAGAAAAAGAGAUGUCACUCGCUGGUGGGCAGUGUUGAGGCUACCACCUAAUAAUUAUACCUUUUUUACAUACGGUAUAUAUAAAAUGUAUAUCCACAGAAUCCAGCAGAAAAUUCAAAGCAAAAUAAUUAGUGCUGGGUGCUUUCUCAAAGCUUAAAGCAUGCAGAAUGCAUGUUAAAGCCUUAUGCUUUCAGCCCUGCAAGAGAGUCUUGGGUAGAAGACAUUGCAUUCAAAUUCUUCCUGAAAAGAGAAGCUGCAGGGUCAGAUCUUGCCUUGAACUGAUGUGGCUAUUAUUCUGUCAACACCAUCACCCCGCCCCCACUAUAAUACUCUCCCCUGGGAGGCCAACCUAGCACAGACUCUAACAUCAUCUUCACAUCAGUGUAAGAGUUUUUAAACAUUGCCUAAAAGUUGCCUAGAGCCUGCCCUGUGUUAGGCAGUUAACAAAUAAUACAAUCCAUAAUAUGGUUUUCUGUUUCCCUUCCAGCUGUGCACUCCUAUUCCUAUGAGUGACAUUGGCUUAUUCUUUAGCAAGAUCUUGCCCUUUGCCCUUUCACCUGUGCCUCAUCAUGACCUUUGCUUGGGAGCAUCUGCAAGGUACUGUAGUGAGCAUUCCACUUCAAGCCAGAACAGAAUCUGCCUCUUAACAGUAGGUUUACAUGUACAGCCAGGUGCAAUUGUUUUUCUUACACAGACACACCCCUCUUCGUUUGUGGCUGUUAGAUUUAGCUUUGCAUGUUAACGUGGGGUAAAGCAGCACAAUACCGAAAUGAGAGACGCCUGUAAUUGUGCAAAAUAAGACGUUUAGCUGUCCAAUUUUGUCACGUUGACUCAAAAAGGAAAUGUCAGCUUGUUUGGGGAUUGAUCCUCGAAAUGCCAAUUGUAUCUAAAUGCACGAAUCCCAAAGAUCCUGCUGAUUAUUAGUAUUAUUUAAUUUGAUACUACAGCAAAGCUCGUUGCUUAGGAGCUGGAGGAGGUAAUAAUUGCUACCCCACAAGCCUCAAGUCCCUACCACAGAGCUUAGCAGUAGCAUUACCCUGUAGUUGUAACUUGUGUUAAGGUUUUUGGAAAAUGCUUAAUUCUCUGUUCUAGAAAGAGAAAAUGAGGCACUUAAUUCCAUAUUGUUACCAGCAUUUUCUGUUUUGAAGAAUACGUAAAUAAAAACUCCCAACACACCAAUCAGGACCCUUUGUAGCAAUCAGCUCUGAAGCAGAAUAAACCUACCAUAAUUGUGUCUUUUUUAAAGCAAAAAACUCUGUGCUGGUGGAAUCAGAUACGCUGCAAGUGAUAUCUUUUUUGUCCAAAAUAUGCCAUCCCUGGACACUAACCUUAUUGGGUAAAAGAUUUGUCUAUCCUAAACUACUACUUACCAUGCUGGAUUUCUACUUGCAGGGAGAUUCCUCCCCCCUUCCUCAGGAAACAUUAACACUGAUUUCCUCCUUGCCCUCCUCACCUGUCAUCUGAAAUAAUACAGCCCAUUCUACCACAGUGAGGAUUCUCGUGACUCAUUACCACCCAAUUCUGCUGCCACAGUUUCUGGUUGCAGGAGCCAUUUCUUGCUGGGCUUGCCACCAAAGUGGUAGCAUCACUUUGAGGUUAUCCCUUUGGAGGUGGAGUGAAGCUAGGUGCCAUUUUCUGUUCAGUGUUGUUAGAUUUGAGUCCUCUUUAUGGUUUACCCUGUUGCAAGCCACCUUGGAGAUCAUUUGAUUGAAAGACAGGACCUAUCAGUCUUAGAAAUGAAUUAAAUGAUGUAAUGGUUUUUAUAAUGCAGACUUUGAAUUAGCAGUGGGCUCCAGUUUUUAAGUGGUUUUGAUUUGCUGAUAUAUGCUGGCAUUGGCAUUGGCUUGAAAGGCUUACUGUAAAUCUACUUCUGGAACAUUUACCGCAGUAAAUGAAAGGAAAUAAUGAGUGUGCCCUAGAAUAGAAAUCCACUCUGGAGUGCUCACAUACACUGUCGAUAGAGGUUGUGUCCACCUGCGUUUGGAAGUGUAAUUGCAUAGAAGGACUAAUUAACUAGUAUUAUUCUGCCCUGGUGUAUGGUAAUUAUAUUUGCAAUUUAUUUUUUAUGGGGCUAUGAAGGUUUGUCUGAGGCCAACGUUUUUCCUAAGGCAGCGGGACUCCGUAAGACAAAAUAAAUCAACUGCCAUUAUUCUGAGCUGUGUAAAUGGGCAGAGGGCCAGCGCUAAGUUUAUACAUCAUGUAAGACAUCAGUAAACCCAGCGCUGAGAGAUGUGUGGUAGAGCCAGCAGCUGUGUGCUAGGCCUUCUUUACAGAAAUUUCACACACACGUGGAUUCCCCAGUGGGGAUGUGUGGCUUGGGGAGAAUUCUGAGGGCCAGAUUUGGCCCCCAGGGCUGAGGUUCCCACCUCUUUUAUUAUUGUUGUUAUUUAUUGUUUAUUAAACUUGUAUACCGCCCUUCAUCCAAAGAUCUCAGGAUGGUUCACAGCAUAAAAUACAGAAUAAAGCCACAAAGUGCAUAAUAAAUGACAGCUGGGAAGAGUGCAGAGAAGAAACUCCAUGGUGCAUCUGCAGCAGUACAACCGAACGCCUUCAUCUGCCCCAACUGAAACAAAACAUGCCUCUGCUGUAUCGGGGUCUAUAGCCACACCAGAAUCUUUAACCUUCCAACAGCUUCACUUCACCACCAAAGGUGCAUUCCUCCAUUGUCUCCCAAGACAGACAGAUGCCAACAACAAAAUAAGAACGGAACAGUACAAAAAUCCCCCCUCCCCACAAAAACAUUUAAAGGACCUCUUCCCUUUUUGAUUACAAUAUUUCAGGGUAAUAAAUCUCACAGGUUAUUUGUUUUGUUUAUAUCCUGCCUUUCCUCCAAGGACCUCAUUUAUGGUUCUACUGCCUGCCCCCAGUUUAUCCUCACAAAACCCCCAAAAGGUAGGUGAGGUUUAAGAGGUAGUGGAGAUCAGUCCACACAGUCACUCAGUGAGCUCCCACCCAAAGGUGGGAAUCAAAGGUUGCCACAAAGGUGGGAGAACAGGAUCUGCUCUGAAUCAUGCCAGGCAGAGGCAGACCUCAGAGGGCAGCCUCUGUCAUUUCCUCCCUAGAGGUGGGAGGAGAGCAGCAGUGCCCCCUAUUCACCGAGAGGAUGCUGUAGAGGCGGCAGAUCCAGCUUCCAUUAUGGCAGUGUACAAUUCAUUCCUUGAAAGCCGGAUCUGUUGCCCCCGGCAGCUGCUCAAGGCGGUUACCUUACCUUGCCUCAUGGGUGGGACAGCCCUGCAUGCAUUACUGGGAUUUUUAACAAGGCAAUAAAAGGUUAGAGAGAAACACAAUUUGUUUGCCCCAGUAUAUGAAGGGAAAGUAAUGUCCCUUGGAGAAGGAGCAGUAACUCAGUUGCAAAGCACCUGCUUGGUUUAUUGAUUUACUUAUUUCCAAUAUUUAUAUACUCCUAAUGACAAAAGCCAUCUGGGUGAUUCACAGGUAAAGUUCAAAAACAUAAACCACAAUAGGAAACUAAAAUCUAACACAGAAUAAAACCAGGAACAGAGAAUGACAUCCAGCAAAACAUAUAAAAAGCAGCAACGAAAUAUUAGUGACUGAAAAUGCCUUCACCUGAAACCUAAAAAGGUCAUUGUGUAGGCACUAGGUAGACCUUUCUGGGGGUGCCAACACUGGAAAGGCCCACUCUAGUAGCCAACCUCAUUCGUUUCAUUUUGUUCCAUACUCUUCUGCAUUCAUACAUGACAGGCACAAUAUGUAAUGAACCCAGGCUCACUAAACCUUCCAUCAUUGUAACUUGAAGAGUCUUUAAGCUGCCACGUUCUUCACCUUGAGAGCUCAUUGGAAAGAAAACACAAUGCUGUAUUGAGCAGCAUACAUUUAGUUUACCUCGCUUAAAAAGAAUAUUGUAUAUAUAGUUUUGACGGAGUGAAAAACUCAUCGGUAUGAGCUUUGUUUGUUUGUCUGGUGUUGGGUUCCCAGCCUUACUUUGCAAGACAUGGUUCAAAAGGUUUCAGCAUCUCUUGAUGGAAUGAAGUGCAACAUAUGUUUGGAUAUAAAAAAGCACACUGACACUCCUUUGAAUAUGCUUGUGCUGUCUGGAUCUGAAAGCGUCAGUCUCUGAAAAUAGAAAACCUUUGUC